AGAGUUUGAUCAUGGCUCAGAACGAACGCUGGCGGCGUGGAUAAGACAUGCAAGUCGAGCGCUGAUUAAGGGGUAGCAAUAUCUCUUAGUCGGAGCGGCGCAAGGGUGCGUAACACGUGGGUAAUUUGCCAUGAAGUUGGGGAUAACUCGCUGAAAGGCGAGCUAAUACCGAAUAUGGCCCGAUGGAGGCAUCUCUGUUUGGCUAAAGCUGGGGACCGAAAGGCCUGGCGCUACAUGAUAAACCCGCGGCCUAUCAGCUAGUUGGUGAGGUAACGGCCCACCAAGGCUAAGACGGGUAGCUGGUCUGAGAGGACGACCAGCCACACUGGAACUGAGACACGGUCCAGACACCUACGGGUGGCAGCAGUCGAGAAUUUUUCACAAUGGGGGAAACCCUGAUGGAGCGACGCCGCGUGGGGGAUGAAUGGCUUCGGCCCGUAAACCCCUGUCAUUUGCGAACAAACCUUUUCGUUUAACAGGCGAAAAGCUGAUUGUAGCGGAAGAGGAAGGGACGGCUAACUCUGUGCCAGCAGCCGCGGUAAUACAGAGGUCCCAAGCGUUGUUCGGAUUCACUGGGCGUAAAGGGCGCGUAGGUGGUUGGGUAAGUUUGAUGUGAAAUCUCGGAGCUUAACUCCGAAACUGCAUUGAAUACUAUCCAGCUUGAGGUUCGGAGGGGGGACUGGAAUUCUCGGUGUAGCAGUGAAAUGCGUAGAUAUCGAGAGGAACACCAGUGGCGAAGGCGAGUCCCUGGACGACACCUGACACUGAGGCGCGAAAGCUAGGGGAGCAAACAGGAUUAGAUACCCUAGUAGUCC
rnacentral:rRNA from 1 species